rnacentral:rRNA from 1 species
ACUCCUACGGGAGGCAGCAGUGGGGAAUAUUGCACAAUGGGGGAAACCCUGAUGCAGCCAUGCCGCGUGUGUGAAGAAGGCCUUCGGGUUGUAAAGCACUUUCAGUGGUGAGGAAAGGGUAACGGUUAAUACCCGUUAUCUGUGACGUUAGCCACAGAAGAAGCACCGGCUAACUCCGUGCCAGCAGCCGCGGUAAUACGGAGGGUGCGAGCGUUAAUCGGAAUUACUGGGCGUAAAGCGCACGCAGGCGGAUUGUUAAGCUAGAUGUGAAAGCCCCGGGCUUAACCUGGGAAUUGCAUUUAGAACUGGCAGUCUAGAGUCUUGGAGAGGGGAGUGGAAUUCCAGGUGUAGCGGUGAAAUGCGUAGAGAUCUGGAGGAACAUCAGUGGCGAAGGCGGCUCCCUGGCCAAAGACUGACGCUCAUGUGCGAAAGCGUGGGUAGCGAACAGGAUUAGAUACCCUGGUAGACUGUC